AGAGUAUUUGUUUUCACCGAGAACUACUUCUGGAUGAAAAUACUUAAUUUGAGGGAAAACAAUGGCGGGGUGAGAAGAUGAAAGGGAAUAGAAAUUAAUUAAGCAGGAGGUUAAUAAGUACAUAUGGAGUAUGUCUAUUUAAAGGGAAGCAACACUUGAAGGAGUGAAAAGGCAAGAGGGAGAAGAUUCGGUGUUUACUAAUAGCAGCCCAGAUGGAAAGAUAAGCUCCCUCUCAGCAGCCCAGAUUCACAAUUCACACAGCUCUCUUCACAUCGUCCAUGUGACCUCUAAUCUGAUCAUCCAGUUGGAAGCUGCCAAUCAGAGAAAGCCGAGCCCUGCCCACGCAGGUGGAUGGAUUUGAUGAGUUUGAAAUAACAAAUGUUCGUUCUCAACUACUUUUAAUAUUUUAGUCAUAGAGAAAACAGCCGGAAUCACCCUCAUUUGUUAAUCAUUAAGAACACUUUACUGCUGAAAUUAAUUUGCUGGUCUAUCAAAAGCAAUAUCUGCAAGUGCCAUACACAAUGAUACUCAUUCAACAUCCUACUUCAAAUCAUUAAAAGAACGAAGUCACAGCUUAUUAAAACUUAAUGUAUAUCAGUAAGAAGCCCAAACACAGAUACUUCAUUAGGGCAUCCUGACAAAUGUAUCAAGGAUUCGGGAUGAUUUAUAAGGUAAUUCCCGUAAUUAACUGGAGUUUAUUGGCCAUUACUGAAUGACAUCUGGGAAAGAAAAUGCCAACCACCACAACAGAAAUAUGCUUACUAAAUCCUGAAAGGGAAAAGUGAAUUCUACUUGGAUUUUUGCUUUGGAUAAAGUCAAGUGACUAUCCUCACAUUCCACUGCCACUCCUGCUUUCCUACACAUUGUGGGAUUUGGUUUUAUAUAGUCCAUUCAAUUCAACAAGGGUUUUUUUUUUUUUCAGGAUCUCUUCUGGGCUACCUUGAAGAAAUAUCUGCCCUUGGGCUUUGCUACAUUGACUGGAAACUGUCAUCCCCCAACCCUGUUUUUGGAAAGCUCUGGACACCAUACUUCUCUUCACUGUCCAUCUUGUGGACCAUCUCUAGAAAAGAAAGAGACAGAAACAGAAGGGAUGGGACAAAAUGCAACAAUUGCUUAAGAACUGGAGUUCAAAUCUCUCCUGUAAAAUAAACUAACUGUGAACAUGGACAAAGCAUUGGACCUAUUUUGAAGACUACAGAUGUAUUACAGGAUUGUAUCUUUGUAAUGACCAAAUUCAAAAUCACGGCUAGGUAAGGAUGGGUGUAGGGUCUUAUGCCUGGAGUGUAUUCAUUUACAUAUGCUUUUUGGAAGCAGUUAGAAGAGUGUUAGCUCUGGUACCAUGUAACUGCCGAGGUGUCUAUUAUUGAGUCUCAGUAUCCCUAGUUCUCUAAUCUCUAAUCUCUAAUCUGCGGGCACAAUUUCUCUCUUUUUACUGGAGUCAGAAGUAAAAUGCUCUCAUAGCACAGGGAAGGGCACACUCCAGUAUGAAGGGGAACUACAUGGCCCUGGUUGGUACAUGAGCUUGCUGAGGCAGUUCUAGUCAGUGUUAAGAGGGGAAAUCAGAUCCAGCAUGACGGAGGGGCACCCCAAGCUGGGGAAGGGCAAGGAAGACCCAAGAUCNNNNNNNNNNNNNNNNNNNNNNNNNUUUUUCUC
ensembl:lncRNA